AUUUGAAAGGUCUAAAAGGAGUGAUGAGCGAAUGGAGAGACAAGCUCACCUGAGAAAGUUCAGCCAAGAGGAGAGGAAAGCAGAGAUGAGGCAGAGGCAUGAAGAAAUGAGAAACAAAUACGGUUUGAAAAAGGAUAACCCGUACUCCAGAUUUGAGAAUAGCUAAGAAACUUCUGAUGAUGCACCACUGUUGUCUUUUCUUUUACCUGUCGUAAAAAGAGAACAAAUUCCCUGCAUAUCCAGCACUCCAUUUUUCUUUGAGUUAGAAAGAUCCUAAAUAUACCAGUUACCAGCUGACCACACAAACAUACAUUGUUGCCUUUGGCUUGAAAUUUAAUUCAUUCACACUUGGAUUUUCAGUUAAUCUUCCAGCAAACCUCAAUUUAGAUGUAUUUAUGAAGCCUUGUAAGUAUAGUACAUUAAUGACAUUUGCAAAUCCAAAUAAGCAUCAAACAAAUUAAGCAAGACAUGUUGAUGAUUGAGUCUGCAUUGGACUUUGCCUGUUGAUUGGUUGGCUGUACAUGAAAUUCAUUUUUUAUUUAGCCUCAGCAGAUUUUAGUUGUGUAGCAUUUUUACUCUGAUUAAACUAGGACUUGUCUUUCAUAAAGUAGACCACGUGCUAUAAUCCAGUGUGCUUUAUAGAUUUAUCUCCUACACAUUUCAUAUGCUUUCUAAAGUGAAAUUGAUUUGUCUCUGCCUUUGCUAGUUUGUUGGCAUUUCAAUAUAAUUUGCCUGUGUGCUGCAUUUUUCAGUGUUUUGAUUACUAGCUUAUUAAAAGGGGUUUAUUUGUCAGUGCAAUUUACAAAAGUCAGAUAAACUGUGAGAAAGAAAACAAUAAAAGUGAAUAUUGU